rfam:Dufourea novaeangliae contig1173, whole genome shotgun sequence.
GCCGGGGAUAUUGUCCUGUCACAGCAGUACGCCUUUAAAGAGUUACUGGUGUGAUGGGACAUUGUCCUCGUU